UGACCCAGCAUACCGAACACCAUCACAGGUUAUACCAAAAGUAUCUGGUACUUUCCAGAAACAGACACCUGCAACGUCCUCGGUAUUUGUUUCCAUGCCUUCCGUAGUGGCUAGGCAGUCGAUGAAGAUCACUCCUGCUGGGUCACCAACCGGUCAGAAACAAUAUCCGAAGGAUGACGGUGCGGCAGUUGAGAUCUCCACGGCUUCUGUUCCCAAGGGAGGGUUCUCUAUAUUCUCCGUCCAGAAACAACCGGACACCGGAACCUCUCCUGUAUCUGAGUACAUCAAGACAGAAGACAAAGAGACAUUGGCUUGUG